GUGAAUAUAUGACUUAUGUGCUUAGAUGAGGUAAUUUACAUAGACUGUCAUUGUGCUCUGUCAUACCAGAUCAGCAUUCUGGACAUUCCCCGACAGUCCUGGGCACUCUCUUCCAAUCCAGCAACCCUAUGCCGGAUUCGAUGACAUCAGACGUUGUUCCGAUGUCGGCAAUGAUGCGGAUCUCUCCGCCUCUGCCUCCCUUUAUGCUAGCCCGCAUCUUGUGUGGGCGCCCUGCCAGUACUCUCUACCCACACAACGUGGGUCUCAUUUGUUUUGGAG